UACGUAGGGCGCGAGCGUUGUCCGGAAUCAUUGGGCGUAAAGAGCUCGUAGGCGGCCGGUUGCGUCUGCUGUGAAAUCCCGGGGCUUAACCCCGGGCGUGCAGUGGAUACGGGCUGGCUGGAGGCAGGCAGGGGAGAAUGGAAUUCCCGGUGUAGCGGUGAAAUGCGCAGAUAUCGGGAGGAACACCGGUGGCGAAGGCGGUUCUCUGGGCCGUGUGCUGGACGCUGAGGAGCGAAAGCGUGGGGAGCGAAACAGGAUUGAGA
rnacentral:rRNA from 1 species